ensembl:lncRNA
GCUCUGAACGUGGAUGCUGCAGAAGUCCCUCUCUCGCGCACUGCUGUUUCGCUUACUCACUCUCCUCUCUUGCUCUGCCUUCGGUCCCGCGAAUUGGGUCUCCCUCCCGGCUGUGACAGACAGAGACGAGACAGUUUGAGGCAGGGGCUGCUGCACCUGCCCCUCCAGGACAGCGAAGCCGCCAGACCUCGAUCAGCAGCUAGGGGCCGCCGCCCGCCACCCGUCCAGGGACAAAACCCCUUCUCCCUCCCAGAACGCCAGUGGACCGACAACAUGUGCGACUGUUUCCACCUGGCCUUCCCCAACUGGCACGGCUCACCGGGCACGGUAGGGGCUGGACGAAGGCUAAAAGGACCAGAGCCUGAUACAAUUGAUGAUUCAAUAUGUGAAGAUUCAUCUGAGGUUAUAGAGGGUGAGAGACCUCGCCCACAAGGAUCCUCUCCUGUAGAUGAAUAUCCUGAGACUGAGAAAUACAUUGACAUUGAUAAGCAGGUACAGCACUUCAUGUUUCAUCCAAUCAUCGUAAUAUUUUGAAGUGUGAUUUUUUACAAGUCAGCCUGUCUGACUCAUUUUAGAGUGGAGGUGGCAAGAAAGGAAAGAGGAGUUUUGGGAACCUGUUUGAAAAGCGCUCUCCUGCCAAGAUGAGUCAACUGGAGGUGAGAUAGAUGUCUGUAUUAUCUUGAACUCAUGGGGAGAAAAAAAUGCUGUUGCCAUUGAUGGCAAAU